rnacentral:rRNA from 1 species
UCAGGAUGAACGCUAGCUACAGGCUUAACACAUGCAAGUCGAGGGGCAUCGAGAGGAAAGCUUGCUUCCUGUCGGCGACCGGCGCACGGGUGAGUAACGCGUAUCCAACCUUCCCCUUAGUAGGGCAUAGCCCGGCGAAAGUCGGAUUAAUACCCUAUGUUUUCCGAUGAGGACAUCUGAGCCGGAAUAAAGAUUUAUCGCUAAGGGAUGGGGAUGCGUCUGAUUAGGUAGUCGGCGGGGUAACGGCCCACCGAGCCUACGAUCAGUAGGGGUUCUGAGAGGAAGGUCCCCCACAUUGGUACUGAGACACGGACCAAACUCCUACGGGAGGCAGCAGUGAGGAAUAUUGGUCAAUGGGCGAGAGCCUGAACCAGCCAAGUAGCGUGCAGGAUGACGGCCCUAUGGGUUGUAAACUGCUUUUAUCGGGGGAUAAAGUGAGGGACGCGUCCCUUUUUGUAGGUACCCGAUGAAUAAGGACCGGCUAAUUCCGUGCCAGCAGCAGC